ACGCUGCGAUGGACUAACCAGGCAAGUCGUACGGAGAGUGGGAGAACUCACAGUCAGUGGCAAACGGGUGAGUAACGCGUGAAUAACCUGCCAUUGAGAAGGGGAUAACUGUCCGAAAGGAUAGCUAAUACCAUAUAUUGCCUUUUGUCACUAAGGCAAAAGGUGAAAGCGGGGCUGUCAAAGGCUUCGGCUCAAAAGAGGGGUUCGCGUCCUAUCAGGUAGUUGGUGGGGUAAUGGCCUACCAAGCCAAUGACGGGUAGCUGGUCUUAGAGGAUGAUCAGCCACAGUGGGACUGAGACACAGCCCGCACCCCUACGGGGGGCAGCAGAGGGGAAUCGUGGGCAAUGGGCGCAAGCCUGACCCCGCAAUGCCGCGUGAGAGAAGAAGCCCUUCGGGGUGUAAACCUCAGUCAGAUGGGAAGAUGAGACUAGGGGCUAAUACCUCCUGGUCUUGACGGUACCAUCAGAGAAAGGGACGGCUAACUACGUGCCAGCAGCCGCGGUAAU
rnacentral:rRNA from 1 species